rnacentral:rRNA from 1 species
GACGAACGCUGGCGGCGUGCCUAAUACAUGCAAGUUGAGCGAUGAAGAUUGGUGCUUGCACCAAUUUGAAGAGCAGCGAACGGGUGAGUAACGCGUGGGGAAUCUGCCUUUGAGCGGGGGACAACAUUUGGAAACGAAUGCUAAUACCGCAUAACAACUUUAAACAUAAGUUUUAAGUUUGAAAGAUGCAAUUGCAUCACUCAAAGUUGAUCCCGCGUUGUAUUAGCUAGUUGGUGAGGUAAAGGCUCACCAAGGCGAUGAUACAUAGCCGACCUGAGAGGGUGAUCGGCCACAUUGGGACUGAGACACGGCCCAAACGCCUACGGGAGGCAGCAGGAGGGAAUCUUCGGCAAUGGACGAAAGUCAGGACGGGCAACGCCGCGUGAGGGAAGAAGGGUGUCGGAUCGUAAAACUCUGUUGGUAGAGAAGAACGUUGGUGAGAGUGGAAAGCUCAUCAAGUGACGGUAACUACCCAGAAAGGGACGGCUAACUACGUG